ACAAAAAAAAAAACUCAAGCAGAUCUCACACAUAUCAAUUUUGGGCCAAUUUAAAUUUUAAUAAAAAUUUAAGCGACUAAUUUAACUCAAAAAUAAAAAAAUAAAUUAAAUUGAACAUAUUCAAUAAGUAAUAUUCCAACAAAGUUAUUAAUGCAGACAAGUUGGCCGACGUUGGAUUCUCAGGAAGACAAGUUGAAGUCGGAAGGAAAAGAAGGCAGGCGAAAAUAAGGUCUCCAAGCGAUUGGAAGAAUUGAAACGAGAAUAUGACAAGAAGAAUGAAAAGGUAGUUCAACCUCCAGAAUCUUGUGGAAACCAGAAACUGUAGCAAUGAAGAUUUUUUUUUUUUUUCUCUCUUUUUCUUUUUGUUUUAAGUAUGUAAUUUUUCACACUCGAAUUGGAUUGGAGUAAUAUUCAGUAAAGUCAUUGCAACAAUAACAACUCCAUCUCUCUUCUUUUGAGGAGCCCUGCCUUGGCUCAACUA